GACGAACCGUCCAAACGUUAUUCGGAAUCACUGGGCUUAAAGGGUGCGUAGGCGGCGCGGCAAGUUGGGUGUGAAAUCCCUCGGCUUAACCGAGGAACGGCGCCCAAAACUGCCGUGCUCGAGGGAGAUAGAGGUGAGCGGAACUUAGGGUGGAGCGGUGAAAUGCGUUGAUAUCCUAAGGAACACCGGUGGCGAAAGCGGCUCACUGGAUCUCUUCUGACGCUGAUGCACGAAAGCUAGGGUAGCAAACGGG
rnacentral:rRNA from 1 species